rnacentral:rRNA from 1 species
UACGUAGGGGGCAAGCGUUGUCCGGAAUCAUUGGGCGUAAAGAGCGUGUAGGCGGUCCGGUAAGUCAGCUGUGAAAGUCAAGGGCUCAACCCUUGAAAGCCGGUUGAUACUGUCGGGCUAGAGUCCGGAAGAGGCGAGUGGAAUUCCCGGUGUAGCGGUGAAAUGCGCAGAUAUCGGGAGGAACACCAAUGGCGAAGGCGGCCUGCUGGGCAGUUGCUGACGCUGAUGCGCGACAGCGUGGGGAGCAAACAGG